CCUACGGGAGGCAGCAGUGGGGAAUAUUGCGCAAUGGGCGAAAGCCUGACGCAUCUCCGCCGCUUUCUUGAUGCAGGUCUUCGGCUCGUAAACCUCUGUCAGCAGGGAAGAACGGUCACUGUGCUAAUCAGCAGUGAAUUGACGGUACCUGCAAAGGAAGCACCGGCUAACUCCGUGCCAGCAGCCGCGGUAAUACGGAGGGUGCGAGCGUUAAUCGGAAUUACUGGGCGUAAAGCGCUCGUAGGCGGUAUGUCAAGUCAAGGGUGAAAUCCCCGCGCUCAACGUGGGAACUGCCUUUGAAUCUGGCAAACUGGAGUGUGUGAGAGGAUAGUGGAAGUCCAGGUGUAGGAGUGAAAUCCGUAGAUAUCUGGAGGAACAUCAGUGGCGAAGGCGACUAUCUGGCACAUAACUGACGCUGAGGAGCGAAAGCGUGGGUAGCAAACAGGAUUAGAUACCCUGGUAGUC
rnacentral:rRNA from 1 species